rnacentral:rRNA from 1 species
AACGUAGGACGCAAGCGUUAUCCGGAGUUACUGGGCGUAAAGGGCGUGUAGGCGGCGCUUCAAGUUCGUCGUGAAAGACCCCGGCUCAACCGGGGGAGGUCGAGGGAGACUGAGGCGCUGGAGGACGGUAGAGGGACAGGGAAUUCCGGGUGUAGUGGUGAAAUGCGUAGAGAUCCGGAGGAACACCAGUGGCGAAGGCGCUGUCCUGGGCCGCACCUGACGCUGAGACGCGACAGCAUGGGGAGCGAACGGG